CUUUCCUUCUUCUACUACUCUUCUUCUCUCACUAAACCUUUCCACGUGGAACCAUGUUGGCUUGGUGUACCUUGUCUGGGCGCUGGCUGAGAUUUUAAAUACCAACAAUAUGCAGGCUCAGGUCAGCAGGUGUAGAAGUUGUGACUCCAAAAGGAGACACUCAAGAAUCUGAAACAUGUGAUAUCAUCAACAAAGACACCUUCAGCUCAGAGUUCCCAGAAAACACGGUAUACCAUUAUAUAGAGACCAUCUGUGCGUGUGUGUGUGUGUGUGUGUGUGUGUGUGUGUGUGUGUGUGUGUGUGUUGGUAUGAGGGGCAGGGGAUAAACCAUGUGCUAUCUCCAAACUCAGCCUUGGAAUACGCAAGCCAUCGCAAGUUCGUAUGUUUGUGAUGAACAACUACUGGAAAGGUCCUCCCCUCAAAAAGUUUUGUAAAUGUAAGUAGGAUACAUCACAGCCCACAGGGGCUGCGGUAGGGAAAGCAGGGGAGUGGAGCGGAAGGGGCCCCAGAGGAAGGAAGAGGAGGGAGGUGCCUAAUACAAACACCGACAAACAAUAAAAACAGAGAACCUUAAGGCGGUGAGUACAGCUAAAUUAAGUUCUUGUAUGGAAAGGAGGCUAAAGGUCUCACUUAACACAGGUGCACAGAGAGCUGUUCUAAAAUGCUGGAAUGGUCUUAGAAAUACAUAGAAAAUGGGAAUGUCUGAAACUCUCUCUGUCUGCUGUUUGCCCUGCUUUCAUUUCCUCCCCUAAACACAUUCUAAGCACACAUUCAGCAAGAUCCAACCAAUUUACAAGCUCAACACACACCUUCAACCAUCAGAAGGGCAACUCAGCAUCACCGUGUCACAGUGGACUCCGAGGGACCCUACACCUUAUGAAUGGGCAUUGUCCUCAAGAAGGUGAUGGAAAAUACCAGUGUACUUCAAGUAAUUUCAUACCCAGGAGGCUGCUCUGGCGAGAUGGUUUGGAGCAGUGGAUCCCAGCCUUCCCUAAGGCUGUGACCCUUUAAGGCCUCAUGUUGUGGUGAGCCCUGUAAAAGGAUCAUUCAACUCCCCAGGGUGAGAAUGGCCAAUUCAGAGCCUUUCAUCUUUAACCUCCAGCUCCUUAGAUUGUUCAUGUUUUAAGCCUGAUCAAAAGCAGCCUUUAUGUUUUCCUCCACAUCCCUGGUUAAAUUUUUCUGUUUAAGUCCAAGAGCAAAAAACUCUGCCAUACCUGGAGAGAUCCCCUCCUGGGGUGAUAAACACUUGACUUACGACUUUGUGGGCCAUCCAGAUGCUGAGACAUCAUGCGUCCCAUGGAUGUCGCAUGCACCCACGUCUUCUUCAGAAUGUUAAGCUUCAACCCGAACAACACAAUAAUAAAGACUGUCAGGAGUUCCUCAGUACAGUUAAGACACAUCUUUGGAAAGGAGAAAAAGAAGAACUGCACAGAGAUGUCACUGAUUAAGAAAGAAAAAAAGGUACAGGAAGAACCAGGCGGAGCGACAACAGAAACUGAAGAAGUCACAGGCUUCAGUGGUGGUUUGCACCACCAUAUAUCAUAUGUGAGUCAGGAGAAUGCAGGCAUCUCAUGCCCUAGGAAUUUCCCAUAUUUCUAGGAAAAUACAUCUUCUCCCUCUGCUGGGAACGUGGGGUUCAUCCAGUAGGAAGUGUAAAAGGAGCUCACUGUAAAGCAUAUGGUACAAAGCUACAGGUGGAGAUGAAGAGAUGGCUCAGUGGUCAGAGCGAGUUCAGUCUCCAGCACCUGCUUGGGGCUCACAACUGUCCACUACUCCAGCCCAGAAGAUCCAAUACCCUCCUCUGGCUCCAGCAGGUACUCAGUGCACUCAUAUGGUGCACAUAUAUGCGUUCAGACAUAACACAUAAAAUAAAUUUUAUUUAAAGAAAAAUGCCACAGGCAUGACUGUUGGUGGAUAGUGCCUGUUUGGGUCAUGAAAAGUGAAGUUUCUGUAGGCUUCAGGUUGAGAUCUAGUCUUCUUCUGUGCAAAGUUUCAGGACUGGUUCUUGCUCGGAGUAUUGGAGCUCUCAGGAUGCUUGUGACUUCAGUGACAAUGCCAAUGGAAACUCUAGAGAUGGGCCACGCCCCAGCUAGGGAGAAGGAUCCGCUAAGGAGAAUCUCAAACUGCAAGCAGGGCUGAACCGCACCCCAUACUCUCAUCCCAGGAGUUAGAGGACAUUGAGCUAAGUUCAGGACUAGGAAUUCGUGGUGGGAAUGGGGAGGUAGCAAUCCACAGUGCGGUGAAACACUGAGUCUGCUCCAGAUCUGACUGAUGAUGAUGGAUCCUAUCUAGGUGCUGCUUAAAUGCUUUUCUUUGUUCCACAGUCGAGUCUGGAAACUGUACAGAUGACCAAGGGUCCAGGCAGACAGAGGAUCAAGUCCAGUACCCUGCUGUCUCCCUUAGAGAGGACCCCCUAAAGCCCCGUGGGCUCAGGAAGGGCACACAGGCCCAGGAGAUGAAUCAGUAGGUAAAGUGCUUGUUGCACAAGCAUUUGCCUCUGACUGCAGAUCUCCAGCACCUACAUAGAGGACUGGGACGGCACAGCGUACAACUGGAUCCCAGCCCAGGGCGGGGAUGAGGAGCAAUAGGGUGGUCUGAACAUUUGCCAUCCCGCAGGAUUUGUCUAUCCCCGAGCUCCACGUCCAGCAAGAGACUCUGUCUCAAAUAAAUAAAAUGUGAAGUCUUUGUCUUGCUCACACACAAAACAGGC
rnacentral:sRNA from 1 species